rnacentral:tRNA from 1 species
GCAGGCGUGGCCGAGUGGUUAAGGCGAUGGACUCGAAAUCCAUUGGGGUUUCCCCGCACAGGUUCGAAUCCUGUCGGCUGCG